UGCAGCAGGAAACAUUCUAUAUACUGCUUCGGGUAAUCCAAUGGUCACUGCCAGCUCAAUACCAAUCCAAUUCCUACUUUGGUUUUUAUGGUUUUUUAUGCAUAAUUAAUCCUUUCAAUUAAUGAAAAACAAUGGCUUCUUGAAAACCAUCAGUGUCAAGGAAACAAGAGAAUAUUAAGCCUCUACACAUAUAAAUUAAUACCCUUAAAAAUAAACAAAACAAGUUUUUACCAUAAAGCCAAAGAUUAAAAAUUGUUUUGUUUCUCUCUUCUUCAUCGACGAUAGCCGGCGAUCAAUGACGGCGCCACCGUCACCUUUCCAACAAACCCAAACUUCCCACACCCAAACCUAUGUGAAAACCUUACAACCAGAAAUUCAUAUCCAGUUUUCCGUAUAAAGCCAUAAACGCAAUAGAUG
rnacentral:lncRNA from 1 species